UACGUAGGGGGCAAGCGUUGGUCCGGAUUUAUUGGGCGUAAAGAGCAAUGUAGGCGGCCAGGUAGGUCAGCUGUGAAAACUCGAGGCUCAACCUCGAGACGCCGGUUGAAACCAUCUGGCUAGAGUCCGGAAGAGGAGAGUGGAAUUCCUGGUGUAGCGGUGAAAUGCGCAGAUAUCAGGAGGAAGACCAGUGGCGAAGGCGGGUCUCUGGACAGUUCCUGACACUGAGACACGAAGGCCAGGGGAGCAAACGGG
rnacentral:rRNA from 1 species